UCUAAUAUGGCAGAAUAGUGCAAUGAAUUUAAGAUUCAAAUAUAAAGAUUAAUCUUUUAUUAGAA
rnacentral:tRNA from 1 species